GUAAUAGCUCACUGGUCGAGUCGGCCUGCGCGGAAGAUGUAACGGGGCUAAACCAUGCACCGAAGCUGCGGCAGCGACGCUUAUGCGUUGUUGGGUAGGGGAGCGUUCUGUAAGCCUGUGAAGGUGUACUGUGAGGUAUGCUGGAGGUAUCAGAAGUGCGAAUGCUGACAUAAGUAACGAUAAAGCGGGUGAAAAGCCCGCUCGCCGGAAGAC
rnacentral:rRNA from 1 species